GCUAGAUUUCCUGUAGCACCUUUGGUCGGAACGAGCUGGAGAUCAUUCUAGGUCCCGGACUCAUUCCCAGCUCUUUACCUAUCUCUGCAGUGCCUGCCCUUUGAGAUCCAAACUGAGGCUGGGGCUGCUAAGUCCUGACUGUUACCGAUUCCAUCUUCUUUGUGCUCACAGCAUCCCCAUUAGACUCUAUAGGUGUCCAGUGUGGAGUACUAAAAGGAGUAUUCUACAGAGGAGGCAAACAUCUCAGCUCUAGUGAUGGUCCCUCCAAAAGUGACCUUGCCUUUAAGCCUCCAGGCCCUGGAAAGCAGGAAUCCAUCCUAAGAGGAGAAACAUUUGCUCCGCCUUGUCAGGAAUCCACCCUUCCUCAAGAGAGGAGCACAGAGUAGGAAGGAAUGAGUGCAGGACUGCUUAUGACCAGGUCACAGGUAAGUUGGGGUUCUUUGAUCUCUUUCCCCUAAUACGCCUUCUCCUGCCUGAGAGUAAAAA
rnacentral:lncRNA from 1 species